AAAAAAUCGAUGAGUUGACAAUUCUGACAGGCAGAGGCGGGGAUACCUCUCCUCCGGAGGCGGGACAUAAUCAUAUUUCCACGGCGAUGCUCAGAUUCCAUUGGUCACGUUGAGGAGGUCGGGCCCCAGAGAGAACAGCUAUUGGUCGGAUGGUAUGUCGCUCAUGGCGUGUGUGUGUUUGCAGGGGCAUAUAAAGAGCGUGAAACUCAGCGAUAAAUAGCUAAGCUCAAGCAGUUGCAGAAACGUUUCAGAGUUUAGACGGCGAAAGAAAGAGAGAAAAAAAGAAAGAAAGAGAGAACUCAGUAGCUUACAUACAUACAUACACAAAAAGAUAACUGAUCAGACAGGACGAAAAAAAUGUAAUGGUCUGACGCAAACGAUUUUUUGUUUUUUGUUUUUCCUCCUUCGGAAGGGGUCUUUCAUAUCGAUGCCAUUGGCCGAGGCGCCCGCAGUGUCUCCCACAGGAUGAUCAGGAUGUCAUUGGACAAAGAGACUGUUCUACAGCGUGAUGGGCGGGGCGACGCUGCUGUCCCAGAAGGCCCUGCGUCAGGAGGAGGAGGAGGGGAGGGGGAGUGGACAGGGUGGGUGGGGUAAUGAUGUCCCCUCCUCCUCCCUGUCUGGGACCAACCGGAUUCACCGGAAGAAUGGUUCUAACGGAACAGCCACAUCCUCACGGCCCCAAAACAAGAAGUACACACCCCUUAAAGACCAAAAACGGCCUUCAGCCCCCCCACAACAACCCCCAGGUCUUCCCUCCGGG
rnacentral:lncRNA from 1 species